rnacentral:pre_miRNA from 1 species
UGGAUAGAUUACUGUGUUCGACUGUAUUCACGGCGUGAAAUAGGGGAUUACACUGUUUUUAAACGGAAAGUUUAUAACAUAAUAGACUACU